rnacentral:rRNA from 1 species
GACAGAGGGUGCAAACGUUGCUCGGAAUCACUGGGCGUAAAGGGCGUGUAGGCGGGAAGGAAAGUCAGAUGUGAAAUCCCUGGGCUCAACCCAGGAACUGCAUUUGAAACUCCCUUUCUUGAGUGUCGGAGAGGAAAGUGGAAUUCCUGGUGUAGAGGUGAAGUUCGUAGAUAUCAGGAGGAACACCGGUGGCGAAGGCG